GGGGGUGGAUGUGGCCCGGUGGCUGCCCUGGUCUUCAAAACCAGUGGGACGUUGCGCAGAGCAAGGUCCGGUGGGUUCGACUCCCAUGCACUCCCG
rnacentral:tRNA from 1 species